AACGCGAAGAACCUUACCUGGGCUCGAAAUGUAGAGGACGAUAUCAGAAAUGAUAUUUCUCGAAAGGGUCUUUACAUAGGUGCUGCAUGGCUGUCGUCAGCUCGUGCCGUGAGGUGUUUGGUUAAGUCCAGCAACGAGCGCAACCCUUAUCGUUAGUUGCCAACGCGUAAUGGCGGGAACUCUAACGAGACUGCCUGGGUUAACCAGGAGGAAGGUGAGGAUGACGUCAAGUCCGCAUGGCCUUUAUGUCCAGGGCUACACACGUGCUACAAUGGUCGGUACAGAAGGCAGCGAAACCGUAAGGCGGAGCAAAUCCUGUAAAACCGAUCUCAGUUCAGAUUGUAGACUGCAAUUCGUCUACAUGAAGUUGGAAUUGCUAGUAAUGGCGUGUCAGCAACAACGCCGUGAAUACGUUCCCGGGCCUUGUA
rnacentral:rRNA from 1 species